AAAAAAAAAAAAAAAAAAAAAAAAAAAAAAAACAAAAAAAACAAAAAAAUUAAAAAAAAAAAAAAACAAAAAACAAAAAACAAAAAAACAAAAAAAAAAAAAAAAAAAAAAAAAAAAAAAAAAAAAAAAAAAAAAAAAAAAAAAAAAAAAAAAAAAAAAAAAAAACAAAAAAAAAAAAAAAAAAAAAAAAAAAAAAAUAAAGAAAAA
rnacentral:lncRNA from 1 species